rnacentral:lncRNA from 1 species
UAUUUUUCUUCUGUUUGCUAGUGACGUUUUCCUCUAUCCAGGCUAGAGAGAGCAUGUUCUUUAGCAAGUUCACGAGACACUAUAGCAUCACAAAAGAGAAUGGUAAGAAAGGGCCCAUCACCAUUUUGACAGUACCAAUUCAAGCACCUACACUAGCACCAGCACCAUCACCAGCAUCGUUACUAGAUGUUCCAGAACCAGCACCAGCACCAGCACCGGUGUUCGGCGAGAGUGAAAAGGGCCAUGGCCUUUUCGGUGAGGGCUCAGGAAUGUUCCCUCCUAAGGAGACUUCAACCACCACCACCACUUACGCUGAUGAAAAUGAGCUUUUGAACGAAGAACUUGAUGGUGUAACCUCUGACCAGAAGUAUGAAAACAGCAACUACAACAACAAUGGCUAUACUAGCACUUACAACAAUAAUGGUUACGAGAGGAGCAACUACAACAACAAGAACAACAACAAUGGCUACAAACUUGGUAGUGCUAGAUAUGAGACAGGUAAUCAAAACAACAAUGGCUACACCAACAAGUACUACAAUAAUGGCUACAAACUAGCUGGUGAAAGCUAUGAAGCAGGCAAUCAAAAUACUGAGAAUGGCUACGACAACAAUGGCAACACAAACAACUACAACAACAAUGGCUACACCAACAAGUACUACAAUAAUGGCUACAAACUAGCUGGUGAAAGCUAUGAAGCAGGCAGUCAGAAAAGUGAGAAUGGCUACAGCAACAACUACAACAACAACGGCUACACCAACAAGUACUACAAUAAUGGCUACAAGCUACCUGGUGAAAGCUAUGUAGUGGGCAACCAGAAUAGUGAGAAUGGCUACACCAACACCUACAACAACAAUGGCAACACAAACAACUACAACAACGAAGGCUACACCAACAAGUACUACAAUAAUGGCUACAAACUAGCUGGUGAAAGCCAUGAAGCAGGGAAUCAGAAUAGUGAGAAUGGUUACAGCAACAAUGGCAACGCAAACAACUACAACAACAAAGGCUACACCAACAAGUACUACAAUAAUGGCUACAAACUAGCUGGUGAAAGCUAUGAAGCAGGCAAUCAGAAUAGUGACAAUGGCUACACCCGCUAUGAGACUGAGAGACAAGGGAUGAGUGACACCAGAUAUAUGGAGGGUGGAAAGUACUAUUACAACGCGAAGAAUGAGA